GGCUCAGGAUGAACGCUAGCUACAGGCUUAACACAUGCAAGUCGAGGGGCAUCAGGAAGAAAGCUUGCUUUCUUUGCUGGCGACCGGCGCACGGGUGAGUAACACGUAUCCAACCUGCCCUUUACUCGGGGAUAGCCUUUCGAAAGAAAGAUUAAUACCCGAUAGCAUAAUGAUUCCGCAUGGUUUCAUUAUUAAAGGAUUCCGGUAAAGGAUGGGGAUGCGUUCCAUUAGGUUGUUGGUGGGGUAACGGCCCACCAAGCCUUCGAUGGAUAGGGGUUCUGAGAGGAAGGUCCCCCACAUUGGAACUGAGACACGGUCCAAACUCCUACGGGAGGCAGCAGUGAGGAAUAUUGGUCAAUGGGCGCUAGCCUGAACCAGCCAAGUAGCGUGAAGGAUGAAGGCUCUAUGGGUCGUAAACUUCUUUUAUAUAAGAAUAAAGUGCAGUAUGUAUACUGUUUUGUAUGUAUUAUAUGAAUAAGGAUCGGCUAACUCCGUGCCAGCAGCCGCGGUAAUACGGAGGAUCCGAGCGUUAUCCGGAUUUAUUGGGUUUAAAGGGAGCGUAGGUGGACUGGUAAGUCAGUUGUGAAAGUUUGCGGCUCAACCGUAAAAUUGCAGUUGAUACUGUCAGUCUUGAGUACAGUAGAGGUGGGCGGAAUUCGUGGUGUAGCGGUGAAAUGCUUAGAUAUCACGAAGAACUCCGAUUGCGAAGGCAGCUCACUGGACUGCAACUGACACUGAUGCUCGAAAGUGUGGGUAUCAAACAGGAUUAGAUACCCUGGUAGUCCACACAGUAAACGAUGAAUACUCGCUGUUUGCGAUAUACAGUAAGCGGCCAAGCGAAAGCAUUAAGUAUUCCACCUGGGGAGUACGCCGGCAACGGUGAAACUCAAAGGAAUUGACGGGGGCCCGCACAAGCGGAGGAACAUGUGGUUUAAUUCGAUGAUACGCGAGGAACCUUACCCGGGCUUAAAUUGCAGUGGAAUGAUGUGGAAACAUGUCAGUGAGCAAUCACCGCUGUGAAGGUGCUGCAUGGUUGUCGUCAGCUCGUGCCGUGAGGUGUCGGCUUAAGUGCCAUAACGAGCGCAACCCUUAUCUUUAGUUACUAACAGGCCAUGCUGAGGACUCUAGAGAGACUGCCGUCGUAAGAUGUGAGGAAGGUGGGGAUGACGUCAAAUCAGCACGGCCCUUACGUCCGGGGCUACACACGUGUUACAAUGGGGGGUACAGAAGGCAGCUAGCGGGUGACCGUAUGCUAAUCCCAAAAGCCUCUUUCAGUUCGGAUCGAAGUCUGCAACCCGACUUCGUGAAGCUGGAUUCGUUAGUAAUCGCGCAUCAGCCACGGCGCGGUGAAUACGUUCCCGGGCCUUGUACACUCCGCCCGUCAAGCCAUGGGAG
rnacentral:rRNA from 1 species